rnacentral:lncRNA from 1 species
CACGAAAGAAGGGAAUGCGUCUUAAAAUUGUGUCCAACACAAUUUCAAAUUUGAUUAUUAUUUCUUUCUUAAUAUUCUUUAAGUCAUUUAUAAAUUUUCUACAACAAUGUUUUAUUUCUUUUGUUUAGACUUUUAAAUCACAUCAAUAAUUUUUUAAAUCCUGUUCCAAUAACCUAAGGCGUAGCCCAUAUCAGUUGAAUGCCUACUAGAACAUCCAUGCCAUGAUUAGCUAGGAACCGUAAUAUAAGCUACAAAUUCUACCAUAAUGGGUAUAUAUUGCACUCCUUUUGUCAUGUUUCAUGUAAUAUUUGCUAAAGACAUGCUCCAGCAUAUUUACUCCUAAGAAAAUCAUGUAUCUGUAACCCCUCGGCACCACGCACCUAAAAAAUCUUCUUGAAUGAGUAACAUUACCCAUUCCUCAUUGUUCAUAUGUAGCUUUUCCAAAAUUACAAUGAUACUGUCUUCAUAAUGUGUUGAAGCCAGGUUAGCAAUCAAAAUAUUUUUAGGAAACAUGAAAAAUUGAAAAUGAAAGCAAAAGCUUGUUGUGGUUGACGAGCAACCCAUAAAGCAAAAAUGCCUAUACAACUGAAAAACAUUAAAAAGAAAGACAACAAUGAGAAAUGCCUGGAAAAGGCAAAAUCUGGUAUAAUAAUUGGAAACACACAACAGAACUGUUCCAAUAAGGUCCCAGUAAUUUUUAUUUUGCUAAUUAACAUGUUUCUUUAUUGUAACAUUAUACUUUUUAAUAUACUAGGCAAGUCCUUAUGUGUCGAUGUGGUUGAUCAAGUGUCCAGGCAAGUUAGGAGGAUGAUGACAGUUGCAACUCCGAUGAGCCAACUAGUCAGUAAUGAUGAAUGACAAAGUUUACCACCACCCUUCUUCUUCUCAAAUCCCACGCCGCUCUCAUUAAUCAAUAAAUCUACGGGAAAUUUGAAUGAGAAUUUAUCUUAAUGGAGGACAACUACCACUGCUAUUUCUACGUAUUAUUAUGUAUAGAUGCAUUUGAGGGGCAAUAUGGAUCGCAGUGCAUCUAUAUUGGGCUUUGCCAACCAAAGCAGCCCCAUCUUCUUCAUUAAAGAUUUUUGCUUGACCCUUUCAUUUUUUUGUUGUUUGUACUCUAAUCUCGUGAACCACAUCAGGACAUGCUGAAUAUCGAAGACGGAAUCUAGGAGAGUUUGCUGUAUAUCAGUGUGGAUUUCUCUGGUUUCUGUUCUUUGUUGUUAAAUAAUUGAUACUGUUACACCCACCUUCGUGGCCCGUCAUGCCUCAAAAACAGUAUGCAGUGGUUUGAGUAUCACAAUGAUAGGGAAAUUCUUUGUGCACCGCAAGAAAACUCGAUGUGUUUAUUCGAUUAGUUUACGUGGUCAUCACUUUUCAAUAUAUAUUUAAUAUCUACAGUUUUAUUAUUUUAUUUAAAAUUUUGAAUGAUGAAAAUGUCUCUAUUUUGGAUAAAAAUGUUCCUUUCAUAUUAUGAUAUUUUGGACUAUAUUAUAACAUUCUGAGUUAUAUUAUGAUAUCAUGCACGCAGAAAGUCAUAAUUUAAUGCAGGAUACCAUAAUAUGUAUAGGAUGUCAUAAUUUUUUGGACCAUAUUAUGGCAUCUUGUGAAUAGAAAAUCAUAAUAUAUUACAGAAUGUCAUAAUUUUUUUUAAAAAAUAAAAAUAUUUUCAUCAUAUAAAAUUUUUAAAUGAAAAAAUGAAACUAUAGAUAUUAAAUAUUCGUUGGAAAGCGAUGGUUAUGUGAACUGGUCACGAAAAGUGAUGUAUUCCAUAUCGAAUUUUUUGCACCAUCCGCGGUGCACAAAAAAUUUCUCCACAAUGAUAUUUAUUGGUUGGUGAUCCUUGCUUGGAAACCAGAUAUCAUUGUUCAUAAACAAAUUAUGAUUUUUCGCACAAUUCUCAGCUGUCUUCUAUUUUCUAUUAUUACUAUAAAUAAUGGUCAUCAUGAUAAUUAUUAUUAUAUUUCCAAAUAUAUCUACUCCAGGUAGAUCCAGUAAAAUUUACAUAAUUCCUUGAAGGGUUUAUGUAGGAAUUUGUCAUCAAUUGGAUGUGAUAUUCUCUUUGAUGGAGAGAAAGCCAUUAUUCAUAUCAUCAUAAUAAUUGCCGCUAGUCAUGGUUGACUUCCGGGACAAGUCAGGCUCUCCAUGGCACAUAUUGCAUUUUAUCUUUUUUUUUUUUUUUGUAUGAUACAUCUGAACUUAUAUUUUGAAUUUUACUUUUGGACAUUCUUUGUAUCAUGAAAAAUUAUUUUUCUUAUUCCAUUGAUAAUGAUGAUCUAUAUAAUACCAUAAUUUGGAUUUGCUUAAUAUUGAUUUAUUUGAUAUCAAUAGUUUUUAAAGGUUGCUCAUGGGUACAUGAUUUAUAUGGUCACAGGAUAGGUAUGAUAUGUCAUGUGUUGGAUGUCUUUUGUAAUAUUUCUUAUUUAGAUUAAGUUACAUUGCAUUUAUUGUUAUCUACUUUUCUAUUGUCUUUGAGAUGUUUGCUGUGCAUCUCUUGUUGAGGCUGUCUAUCUUACAAAAGGAUUAAAUAGGAUUAAGAUUCUAAAGUCAUCAAGAUAGAUAGGGCUCAGCUUAUAAAAGAUUUUUUAGCAGUGGGAACCUAACUUCUGUGAUAAAAGAUUCCUUGAAGGAAAUUCAAUGUAGUAAUAACAAGCUGAUUGGUUGGUCAAAAAGCACAUAUAAUUUACCUAAUGUAAAAGUUAUAGACUCCAUUCUAUCUUUAUGGUGAUUAGUGCUUCUAUAUAGUUGUUAGAAAGAGUUUAUCUUUGAAUGAGAUCUGAGAGGUAUUCCUCGAGAUAUGAUACUAUACAUAUUUCUGAAGGGGCUCAUCUAUAUGAGAGUGUCUGUACAUAGCCGCAGAUCUGAUAUAUGGGCUAUCUUUAUUAACUUUCAUGAAAAAUCAAAAUACAUGUGCAAGGCCACUAAUGCAUAGAUUCGCAAUUGAGAAUUAUAUACAUAUGUGUGGUAGUUGAAGUCUGGAUCAAAGGAAUGUAGUUAAAGGCCU